rnacentral:rRNA from 1 species
UACGUAGGGUGCAAGCGUUUGUCCGGAAUUAUUGGGCGUAAAGAGCUCGUAGGCGGUCUGUCGCGUCUGCUGUGAAAACCUAGGGCUUAACUCUGGGCGUGCAGUGGGUACGGGCAGGCUAGAGUGCGGUAGGGGGAGACUGGAAUUCCUGGUGUAGCGGUGAAAUGCGCAGAUAUCAGGAGGAACACCGGUGGCGAAGGCGGGUCUCUGGGCCGUAACUGACGCUGAGGCGCGAAAGCGUGGGGAGCAAACAGG